CUGAAGCCGAAGUCCAUAGUGUAACCCGCACCGAAGUAUCGGUUUUGGAUCGGUAGCGGACCCAAAGAAAAUACCGAUUGGACUUUAAAGCCCACAAAUUUCGGCUAUGGUCCGGUCCGGUUUCAAACCGAGAUCAAGACAAGAAAACUCAUCGGUCUCUUCUCUUUCAUGCGUGAGGCGAGCGGCGUGAGGCGAGCGGCGUGAGGCGUGAUUCACGAACCCUAGUUCCAAAAAAAAACUCUUCGGUUACUGAUCAUCGUCAUUAAGAAUCUCAAACUGGCCUAUAUAAAUGUCUUACCGUCUCCAUCUUCUUCUUCUUCACACGAGCAAUCGAGAAUCCAAUCAGAGAUGGACUCAACAUCAUCAUUUGGCCGAGACAAAGAUGAUGCUGGAAACAUUCAAGCUCCCAAUACUACCCAGACAAGGAAAGAGUCAGAGAGAGCUAGUGGAGCGACAAGCAAAGUGAAGCGUAUUCUCCCUCCAAGAUCCGACGUUUGGCAGCACUACACAAGGACUACAGA